rnacentral:rRNA from 1 species
GACGUAGGGCGCGAGCGUUGUCCGGAAUUAUUGGGCGUAAAGAGCGUGUAGGCGGCCACACAGGUCAGCUGUGAAAACUCGAGGCUCAACCUCGAGACGUCGGUUGAAACCGUAUGGCUAGAGUCCGGAAGAGGAGAGUGGAAUUCCCGGUGUAGCGGUGAAAUGCGCAGAUAUCGGGAAGAACACCCGUGGCGAAGGCGGGUCUCUGGGCCGAUAUUGACGCUGAGGAGCGAAAGCGUGGGGAGCGAACAGG